CGUGUAGGCGGCUUGGCAAGUCGGAUGUGAAAUCCCGGGGCCCAACCCCGGAACUGCAUUCGAAACUGCCUGGCUAGAGUCCCGGAGAGGAAGGCGGAAUUCCCGGUGUAGAGGUGAAAUUCGUAGAUAUCGGGAGGAACACCAGUGGCGAAGGCGGCCUUCUGGACGGUGACUGACGCUGAGACGCGAAAGCGUGGGGAGCAAACAGGAUUAGAUACCCUGGUAGUC
rnacentral:rRNA from 1 species